rnacentral:tRNA from 1 species
AUGCAUCUAGUUUAACGGUAGAACUAAGGUCUCCAAAACCUUCGGUGUGGGUUCGAUUCCUACGAUGCAUGCCA